AUUGAACGCUGGCGGCAGGCCUAACACAUGCAAGUCGAGCGGAUGAAGGGAGCUUGCUCCUGGAUUCAGCGGCGGACGGGUGAGUAAUGCCUAGGAAUCUGCCUGGUAGUGGGGGAUAACGCCCGGAAACGGGCGCUAAUACCGCAUACGUCCUGAGGGAGAAAGUGGGGGAUCUUCGGACCUCACGCUAUCAGAUGAGCCUAGGUCGGAUUAGCUAGUUGGUGGGGUAAAGGCCUACCAAGGCGACGAUCCGUAACUGGUCUGAGAGGAUGAUCAGUCACACUGGAACUGAGACACGGUCCAGACUCCUACGGGAGGCAGCAGUGGGGAAUAUUGGACAAUGGGCGAAAGCCUGAUCCAGCCAUGCCGCGUGUGUGAAGAAGGUCUUCGGAUUGUAAAGCACUUUAAGUUGGGAGGAAGGGCAGUAAGUUAAUACCUUGCUGUUUUGACGUUACCGACAGAAUAAGCACCGGCUAACUUCGUG
rnacentral:rRNA from 1 species